GACGUAGGGUGCGAGCGUUGUCCGGAUUUAUUGGGCGUAAAGAGCUCGUAGGCGGCUCGUCGCGUCGACCGUGAAAACCCGCAGCUUAACUGCGGGCUUGCGGUUGAUACGGGCGGGCUAGAGUUCGGUAGGGGAGACUGGAAUCCCUGGUGUAGCGGUGAAAUGCGCAGAUAUCAGGAGGAACACCGGUGGCGAAGGCGGGUCUCUGGGCCGAUACUGACGCUGAGGAGCGAAAGCGUGGGGGAGCGAACAGG
rnacentral:rRNA from 1 species